GAACUUUCCAGAGAUGGAUUGGUGCCUUCGGGAACUCUGAGACAGGUGCUGCAUGGCUGUCGUCAGCUCGUGUUGUGAAAUGUUGGGUUAAGUCCCGCAACGAGCGCAACCCUUAUCCUUUGUUGCCAGCGGUUAGGCCGGGAACUCAAAGGAGACUGCCAGUGAUAAACUGGAGGAAGGUGGGGAUGACGUCAAGUCAUCAUGGCCCUUACGAGUAGGGCUACACACGUGCUACAAUGGCGCAUACAAAGAGAAGCGACCUCGCGAGAGCAAGCGGACCUCAUAAAGUGCGUCGUAGUCCGGAUUGGAGUCUGCAACUCGACUCCAUGAAGUCGGAAUCGCUAGUAAUCGUGGAUCAGAAUGCCACGGUGAAUACGUUCCCGGGCCUCGUACGCACCGCCCGUCACACCAUGGGAGUGGGUUGCAAAAGAAGUAGGUAGCUUAACCUUCGGGAGGGCGCUUACCACUUUGUGAUUCAUGACUGGGGUGAAGUCGUAACAAGGUAGGCGUAGAUGA
rnacentral:rRNA from 1 species